rnacentral:rRNA from 1 species
AUGAACGCUGGCGGCGUGCCUAAUACAUGCAAGUCGAGCGAACAGAUGAGGAGCUUGCUCCUCUGACGUUAGCGGCGGACGGGUGAGUAACACGUGGAUAACCUACCUAUAAGACUGGGAUAACUUCGGGAAACCGGAGCUAAUACCGGAUAAUAUAUUGAACCGCACGGUUCAAUAGUGAAAGACGGUUUUGCUGUCACUUAUAGAUGGAUCCGCGCCGCAUUAGCUAGUUGGUAAGGUAACGGCUUACCAAGGCAACGAUGCGUAGCCGACCUGAGAGGGUGAUCGGCCACACUGGAACUGAGACACGGUCCAGACUCCUACGGGAGGCAGCAGUAGGGAAUCUUCCGCAAAGGGCGAAAGCCUGACGGAGCAACGCCGCGUGAGUGAUGAAGGUCUUCGGAUCGUAAAACUCUGUUAUUAGGGAAGAACAAAUGUGUAAGUAACUAUGCACGUCUUGACGGUACCUAAUCAGAAAGCCACGGCUAACUACGUG